UCCGUUGGUGAACCAGCGGAGGGAUCAUUACCGAGUUUACAACUCCCAAACCCAAUGUGAACGUUACCAAACUGUUGCCUCGGCGGGAUCUCUGCCCCGGGUGCGUCGCAGCCCCGGACCAAGGCGCCCGCCGGAGGACCAACCAAAACUCUUAUUGUAUACCCCCUCGCGGGUUUUUUUAUAAUCUGAGCCUUCUCGGCGCCUCUCGUAGGCGUUUCGAAAAUGAAUCAAAACUUUCAACAACGGAUCUCUUGGUUCUGGCAUCGAUGAAGAACGCAGCGAAAUGCGAUAAGUAAUGUGAAUUGCAGAAUUCAGUGAAUCAUCGAAUCUUUGAACGCACAUUGCGCCCGCCAGUAUUCUGGCGGGCAUGCCUGUCCGAGCGUCAUUUCAACCCUCGAACCCCUCCGGGGGGUCGGCGUUGGGGAUCGGCCCUGCCUUGGCGGUGGCCGUCUCCGAAAUACAGUGGCGGUCUCGCCGCAGCCUCUCCUGCGCAGUAGUUUGCACACUCGCAUCGGGAGCGCGGCGCGUCCACAGCCGUUAAACACCCAACUUCUGAAAUGUUGACCUCGGAUCAGGUAGGAAUACCCGCUGAACUUAAGCAUAUCAAUAAGCGGAAGGAA
rnacentral:rRNA from 1 species